GACACAUUUCUCCAUGCUUCACUUUUAACUUAAAAGUCAAAGCAUUGAAUACAACUCCAUAAUUUUUAAUAGACAUAGUUUAUACACAAUAGAAUAAGAUAUAUGUAAGGUAGAUUUAAAUCAACUAAAACAAUUUGGUGUGAUCAUUUCUCUUUGAUUGAUCCAUUUCUUACUAGUUACUCUGCUCUCACAAGAGCAGUGACUUCUUUUUGAAUUCUUGGAUCCAUUAUUUGAGUCAUAAGGAGACAACGUCACCCAUGGCUUGUGGUUGAUGAUGGCUUUGGGUUGGGAUCCCAGCUGAGACUGUCAACUAGAGCACAUGCAGAUGACCUCUCUCUGUGGAUUUCCUCAGAGCACAAUGACUUCAAAAUAGUCAUAUUUUUCUCAUGUUAGCCUAGACUCCAGAGUGAGUGGGAAUGAUCUGCCACCAUGUUAUGGUGGGCUAGUGUCCCACAAAUUUGACCCAGAUAUAAGAGGAGAGGACACAGAGCCCACCUCUAAAGGGGGAAAUAGCGAAGAAUCUGCAGCCAUGAUUUUAAAAUUUCUGCACACACCACCACAUAUUCCAACCCAUGACUGGAAUCCACUCUCCUAACCCCAAAUGACUAUAAAAAAUACAAACCUUGGGGCUGAGGAUGUGGCUCAAGUGGUAGUGCGCUCGCCUGGCAGGCACAGGGUGCUGGGUUCAAUCCUCAGCACCACAUAAAAAUAAAAUAAAAGAUGUUGUAUCCACCGAAAAAACUAAAAAAUAAUAUUAAAAAAUUCUCUCUCUCUCUUAAAAAAAAUACAAACCUUCAGCUGCCCUCAAGAAUCUGCAAAUGUUUUAAUGAAAAAAGUGAUUCCAGGAGCCGGGUUUAUCUCCCUGAGACUAUCCUCCCCAAGUCUCCACUGCUCUGUUCCCCAUAUAAUUUUCU
rnacentral:lncRNA from 1 species